CAAAAAAAUCAACCCAACCCCAUUAUUCUUUCCCUAUAGCUCUCACUCUUGUGUGUGUGACUUGACUACCUAGCACCAUUCUUUAACCCAGCUUUCAUUCCGUCUGCGUGCGACUCCAAUGAAUGACUCUUCUCCCAUCGGUGUGACUGCUCAGCCCACUACGACAACCAAACUCUUAACCAAUGACAUAGUCACCUCUCUUAACACCAUAUCUAUUUUUUCUUUUUUGAAAUCAUUUUCACAGGAAAACUCAAUUUUGUUCGCUGUUAAAGAUUUGCUCUUAUUUGUAUCGGAUCUGCUCUGGUCUUCUUCGCCAUUGAAGACCUGCAUUUCACAAAGUGCAAGCUCAACUCGGUGUGGAAGCUUUUUCUGAUACCCAACUUGUUCCCAAGAUACUUGCUGAGAACUCUGGUCUAGAACACAAGAUGCGAUCAUAGCACAUAUGGUAAAAAGUGGAUCAGUGAGCGCUAGAGUUUAUCUGCGAAGAUGUACAUGUGGACUGACCUUUUGAGAAUUUUAUGUUUUGGGGACUAGAACCCAUAUGAUAAUUAAGAAUUUAUUUUGGGCUUGUUGAAUGUUUUUAAAUUAUGACACUGUAAUUCAUUUUUAAGUAUGCGCAUACUUCCAACUAUUGAAUGUUUUGAAAAAUAUUUUUUUUAUAUGGAUUUUCGGUUACCUUAUUUUUGGCAAAUGAUUAUGUUUUUCCGCAAAUUAUGUUAAGAAAUUUUAUGAGAUGUUACAAUUGGUAUCAAAGCACCAGGCUAAACAAGUUCUGUAGACAAACCCACAUGUACAUUCGCAAAGAUAGACUGACACUCACUGGAACCUAUCCAUGCUCUCUACGCCCAGGAUUGAUUAUUAUACUCUUUAAUGAUGAGAGUCCUCAACGCUUCGAGUACGAUCAACAACAUCAGCGUGUCAUUUGGAAAUGGACACAUUACAUGACAGAAGUCUAUGAUAGGGCGAACACACCUGAUCGACUGAGAGUGCGAUAUGCCAGCACUUGUUUGAGAGGCUCGACACUGAUAUGGUUCCAUCACAGAUGUAGGCGGCUGGUUCGGGAGACGUGGGAUGACUUUCAUAUGAAGAUCGAGCUAGCCUUUGGGCCAUGGAUUUGCCUAUCUCCAUGGUUGAUAGCAUACCUCGAGGCAGGGCGGUAGAACCAGAAGAAAAUCCCGAAGAAGAUCCCAAGGAGGAACCGACUGAGGGCCAGGAACAUGAGGCAGCUGGGAAUGGCAUUGUUUAGGAAGUACCUGAGAGUUCAUAUGAGGAUUUAGACGGGGACAUGCGGGUCGAUUAGGAUAGUGAUCGUUUGUUUUAUUAUCUUUUGUAAAAAACACUAUGAUUUUCAAAUUUCACUGUUUUGUAUUUCUUUUUGAUUAAGGGUCCUAUGCUAGAAACCCUGAGCCCCGACUAAGGUUAGAUUCCCUUCCUAUUUACUUUUAUAAACACUUUAAGACUUUGCAUUGACUGUUUAUGUUAUGGUUUGAUAUGUUUAAAUGCAAUCUUUUGUCUAAGGGAUGAGUUCUGU